UACGUAGGGUGCAAGCGUUAAUCGGAAUUACUGGGCGUAAAGCGUGCGCAGGCGGUUAUGCAAGACAGAUGUGAAAUCCCCGGGCUUAACCUGGGAACCGCAUUUGUGACUGCAUAGCUGGAGUACGGCAGAGGGGGAUGGAAUUCCGCGUGUAGCAGUGAAAUGCGUAGAUAUGCGGAGGAACACCGAUGGCGAAGGGCAAGUCCCCC
rnacentral:rRNA from 1 species